UGAGGGAAUAUUUGGGUCAAUGGGCGGAAGCCUGAACCAGCCAUGCCGCGUGAAGGAAUAAGGCCCUAUGGGUCGUAAACUUCUUUUGGCGGGGAGCAAUAAGGUCUACGUGUAGACCGAUGAGAGUACUCGUUGAAUAAGCAUCGGCUAACUCCGUGCCAGCAGCCGCGGUAAUACGGAGGAUGCGAGCGUUAUCCGGAUUUAUUGGGUUUAAAGGGUGCGUAGGCUGUUUGUCAAGUCAGAGGUGAAAGGCCGCAGCUCAACUGUGGAAUUGCCUUUGAUACUGGCAGGCUUGAAUACUGUUGCCGUGGGAGGAAUGAGUAGUGUAGCGGUGAAAUGCAUAGAUAUUACUCAGAACACCGAUUGCGAAGG
rnacentral:rRNA from 1 species